AUGCGUAGCCGGCCUGAGAGGGCGGACGGCCACAUUGGGACUGAGACACGGCCCAAACUCCUACGGGAGGCAGCAGUAGGGAAUUUUCGUCAAUGGGGGGAACCCUGAACGAGCAAUGCCGCGUGAGUGAGGAAGGUCUUCGGAUCGUAAAGCUCUGUUGUAAGAGAAAAACGGCACUCAUAGGGAAUGAUGAGUGAGUGAUGGUAUCUUACCAGAAAGUCACGGCUAACUACGUGCCAGCAGCCGCGGUAAUACGUAGGUGGCGAGCGUUAUCCGGAAUGAUUGGGCGUAAAGGGUGCGUAGGUGGCAGAUCAAGUCUGGAGUAAAAGGUAUGGGCUCAACCCGUACUGGCUCUGGAAACUGAUCAGCUAGAGAACAGAAGAGGACGGCGGAACUCCAUGUGUAGCGGUAAAAUGCGUAGAUAUAUGGAAGAACACCGGUGGCGAAGGCGGCCGUCUGGUCUGGAUUCUGACACUGAAGCACGAAAGCGUGGGGAGCAAAUAGGAUUAGAUACCCUAGUAGUCCACGCCGUAAACGAUGAGAACUAGGUGUUGGGGGAAUAACUCAGUGCCGCAGUUAACGCAGUAAGUUCUCCGCCUGGGGAGUAUGCACGCAAGUGUGAAACUCAAAGGAAUUGACGGGGGCCCGCACAAGCGGUGGAGUAUGUGGUUUAAUUCGAAGCAACGCGAAGAACCUUACCAGGCCUUGACAUCCCUUGCAGAGGUAUAGAGAUAUAUCCGAGGUUAUCAAGGAGACAGGUGGUGCAUGGUUGUCGUCAGCUCGUGUCGUGAGAUGUUGGGUUAAGUC
rnacentral:rRNA from 1 species